AUUUCCGGCCAUGAGGAAGGACGUUGCCCUUCCGCACGUCCGGGAAAGGCUUUGCGUCUUUACUUCCGACCUUCUUUAAAGGUGAAACUAACUUGAGGUAUCAGAGGGCCUUUUUUCUAUCCUCUGCAGACCAGACGCGGUUCACCUCGACUACCUUAAAAAUGGAAUUCACAGGAAGAUUUUAGGGCCUAAGACACAGAACACUAAUUCCUAGUUUUGAUCAUCACAUUUUUUGGAGAACUUUGUGAAAAUAGAUUCCCAGGCAGCACUGACUACAGCAGAAUCUUGUCUCGGCUCAGUGGGAUGCGUCCGAGUUCCUACCCUGCCCCCUUCUCCUUAGAAUGCCUUCUCCAGCCUCUCCUUGAGCAGAGGAUGGCUUUAAUCAAGUGUAACUACUACAUUAUUAAUCUUAAGGACUGAAUCUCCCUUUUAUUAGGAAAGAAAGGCGUUUCAAUCAUUGACUUUGCUUUAAAGUAGUGCUGUGUCUUGAUGAGGUAAAAAGAGGGGAGUAAUCCACCAUAAAUUGUAACGAUUUUUUUUUUUGAGACGGAGUCUUGCUCUUUCGCCCAGGCUGGAUGGAGUCUAGUGGCGUGAUCUCGGCUCACUGCAACCUCUGCCUCCCGGGUUCAAGCGAUUCUCGUGUCUCAGCCUCCUGAGUAGCUGGGAUUACAGGCGCCUGCCACCACGCCCAGCUAGUUUUUGUGUUUUUAGUAGAGACGGGG
rnacentral:lncRNA from 1 species